rnacentral:other from 1 species
UAAUUUCUGAAAUACUCGUUAAGCUCUUAUUUUGAACCUACAUAUUAAUUUAGGGAAUUCAAUAUCUAGAUGUAAAAAUGUACUUUCUUGUGAGUCCUUUUACGGCAUUGAGAUUGAUUUAAGCAUCUGUGAGGAUACCCACCUAUCGGGAGAUAGGCGUCAAAAUUGGAGUACCGACUUUUCGGAUAUAUU